rnacentral:sRNA from 1 species
ACGCUAUGUUGGACUUAGGGAUGUAAUCAUAGU